rnacentral:rRNA from 1 species
UGCCCAAAACCACCCUGNNGGAAGCCAAAUCCCCUUGCAGGUGGUCACNGUAAGCAGCGCAAGCAUUNGGAAUAUAAANUUAGUNGGGGAGGAAAAAAUCCACCCCCCCCGCNGGCGAGCUCGAAACCNUGAAAGUNAUAGCCGUAUCCCCCGACCACAAUGACUACCAACGGAGCUGUGGUAUGCCAAAAAGUUUAACUAUGUUCCGGCCCGAAUUNUGNUGCGCGCCACAGANUGGUAUGCGGAAACGAAUUUGUCACAAUUACCGCCCGCCCAUUGAGACCAAAAUUACGAAGUAGCGCUGGGCCUGUGGUGAAAUUGGCUUUUUUAAGAACAUCACAUGCACAAGGACUUGAAAAAUGGUAAAAAGAUGCUAAAUUCAGGCUAUUGACUCUAGAAACCCACUCUUAUGCAAACACUGUAUGACUCUGAUUCUUUNGUAGUGUUACACCUACAAACAGAGGCCCCCAAAGACGAAGCGUUCGAAGCGGCGCAAGCCAAAUCAGGCNGCCCGCGCACGGCCANUUCCAUNCCUCUCCCCGCUUUGGUGCGCGAAGGUUUUGAGAUNGUAGACAAGCGCUCGGGCNAAGAGAUUUACCUUGACGGCUCUAUGGCCGAGACGUUUCAC